GUCAAAUACAGAGAGUAUUACCUGGAUCGCAUGGCAUUAGAAGAGUAGGGUCAAUAAAGGAAACAGAAGUCAGAACUCACAAUCCAGUGCAUUUAUUGCCCAGUGUCUGAAACCACGGUUAGAUAGCAAUUACUUCCUCAUGGUCAGAGGUGGAAGUCCAGCACCAUUAAUAUGAGAGAGCAGUUUGAAACACAGGAUAAAUAAUAUUUCACAGAGAAAAAGAUAGCUAAAAUCAUCCACAUACCAUCGAGACUACCAAGAUGUCAAGUCAGUCAGAUACUUUCUUGGGGGCCUUGAAACAGGAAGAUAAGGAAUGCAGGCAAAUAGCAAUAAAGUUUAAAUACAGAUUUUCAGUAAAAUACAGGUUUUUAGGUAAAAAACAAAAUGUCCUUCUGGGUCAGUCUUGCAAAUCUUAGUGGAAUACAUAGGAUUUAAACUAGAAUUCUUGUUGAACCUCUAAUAUAAUUCAUGCAAGGUAGAAAUAAGAAGUGCAGUACUAUUCACAAUAGCAAAGACUU